AGUGAACGCUGGCGGUAGGCCUAACACAUGCAAGUCGAACGGCAGCACAGUAAGAGCUUGCUCUUACGGGUGGCGAGUGGCGGACGGGUGAGGAAUACAUCGGAAUCUACUUUUUCGUGGGGGAUAACGUAGGGAAACUUACGCUAAUACCGCAUACGACCUACGGGUGAAAGCAUGGGAUCUUCGGACCUUGCGCGAUUGAAUGAGCCGAUGUCGGAUUAGCUAGUUGGCGGGGUAAAGGCCCACCAAGGCGACGAUCCGUAGCUGGUCUGAGAGGAUGAUCAGCCACACUGGAACUGAGACACGGUCCAGACUCCUACGGGAGGCAGCAGUGGGGAAUAUUGGACAAUGGGCGCAAGCCUGAUCCAGCCAUACCGAGUGGGUGAAGAAGGCCUUCGGGUUGUAAAGCCCUUUUGUUGGGAAAGAAAAGCAGCAGGUUAAUACCCCGCUGCUCUGACGGUACCCAAAGAAUAAGCACCGGCUAACUUCGUG
rnacentral:rRNA from 1 species